rnacentral:rRNA from 1 species
ACGAUGGAGCUUGCUCCAGGCGUCGAGCGGCGGACGGGUGAGUAAUGCAUAGGAAUCUGCCCGGUAGUGGGGGAUAACCUGGGGAAACCCAGGCUAAUACCGCAUACGUCCUACGGGAGAAAGCAGGGGAUCUUCGGACCUUGCGCUAUCGGAUGAGCCUAUGUCGGAUUAGCUUGUUGGUGAGGUAAUGGCUCACCAAGGCGACGAUCCGUAGCUGGUCUGAGAGGAUGAUCAGCCACAUCGGGACUGAGACACGGCCCGAACUCCUACGGGAGGCAGCAGUGGGGAAUAUUGGACAAUGGGCGAAAGCCUGAUCCAGCCAUGCCGCGUGUGUGAAGAAGGCUUUCGGGUUGUAAAGCACUUUCAGUGAGGAAGAAGGCCUUGGGGCUAAUACCCCCGAGGAAGGACAUCACUCACAGAAGAAGCACCGGCUAACUCCGUGCCAGCAGCCGCGGUAAUACGGAGGGUGCGAGCGUUAAUCGGAAUUACUGGGCGUAAAGCGCGCGUAGGCGGCGUGAUAAGCCGGUUGUGAAAGCCCCGGGCUCAACCUGGGAACGGCAUCCGGAACUGUCAGGCUAGAGUGCAGGAGAGGAAGGUAGAAUUCCCGGUGUAGCGGUGAAAUGCGUAGAGAUCGGGAGGAAUACCAGUGGCGAAGGCGGCCUUCUGGACUGACACUGACGCUGAGGUGCGAAAGCGUGGGUAGCAAACAGGAUUAGAUACCCUGGUAGUCCACGCCGUAAACGAUGUCGACUAGCCGUUGGGGUCCUAGAGACCUUUGUGGCGCAGUUAACGCGAUAAGUCGACCGCCUGGGGAGUACGGCCGCAAGGUUAAAACUCAAAUGAAUUGACGGGGGCCCGCACAAGCGGUGGAGCAUGUGGUUUAAUUCGAUGCAACGCGAAGAACCUUACCUACCCUUGACAUCGUGCGAACUUUCCAGAGAUGGAUUGGUGCCUUCGGGAACGCACAGACAGGUGCUGCAUGGCUGUCGUCAGCUCGUGUUGUGAAAUGUUGGGUUAAGUCCCGUAACGAGCGCAACCCUUGUCCCUAUUUGCCAGCGAUUCGGUCGGGAACUCUAGGGAGACUGCCGGUGACAAACCGGAGGAAGGUGGGGACGACGUCAAGUCAUCAUGGCCCUUACGGGUAGGGCUACACACGUGCUACAAUGGCCGGUACAAAGGGUUGCAAAGCCGCGAGGUGGAGCUAAUCCCGAAAAGCCGGUCUCAGUCCGGAUCGGAGUCUGCAACUCGACUCCGUGAAGUCGGAAUCGCUAGUAAUCGUGAAUCAGAAUGUCACGGUGAAUACGUUCCCGGGCCUUGUACACACCGCCCGUCACACCAUGGGAGUGGACUGCACCAGAAGUGGUUAGCCUAACU